AGUGAACGCUGGCGGUAGGCCUAACAUAUGCAAGUCGAACGGCAGCACAGUAAGAGCUUGCUCUUACGGGUGGUGAGUGGCGGACGGGUGAGGAAUACAUCGGAAUCUACUUUUUCGUGGGGGAUAACGUAGGGAAACUUACGCUAAUACCGCAUACGACCUACGGGUGAAAGCAGGGGAUCUUCGGACCUUGCGCGAUUGAAUGAGCCGAUGUCGGAUUAGCUAGUUGGCGGGGUAAAGGCCCACCAAGGCGACGAUCCGUAGCUGGUCUGAGAGGAUGAUCAGCCACACUGGAACUGAGACACGGUCCAGACUCCUACGGGAGGCAGCAGUGGGGAAUAUUGGACAAUGGGCGCAAGCCUGAUCCAGCCAUACCGCGUGGGUGAAGAAGGCCUUCGGGUUGUAAAGCCCUUUUGUUGGGAAAGAAAAGCAGCAGGUUAAUACCCCGCUGUUCUGACGGUACCCAAAGAAUAAGCACCGGCUAACUUCGUG
rnacentral:rRNA from 1 species